GACCCCAGUGUGUGUCCUGGAAGUCCCGUCCUCAAGGUGGCGCUGUCGAGGUGGUGGAAGUUUUAAGAGGCGGGGUCUAGCACAAGGUCAUUAGGUCACAGGAGUUCCCUCCUGGGUUAACACAGUCUCUUGGGCGUGCCCUUUCUCUCCCUGGGUGCACAGGGCAGGUCGCCCACAGCGCUGGCCCCGCUGCUUCGUGUCUACGCCCUUGAGGACUUCCCGAGGGCGGCCCUCUCAAGCCUCAUCUCCCUCUCAGAGACCGCAGGACCCUGCCCUGACUUCCGGCGUCGGCCAUCUUGGCUGAUCUGCCCGCUGCGGCUUCCGGUUCAGCGUCUCGUGUUUUCUCUCUCAGUUCUCUAUUUCGAGCCCGCCACCGCCCUUAAGAUUUGCCUAUUUUCUCCUGAACCAACUGUUUGUAACUAAACAUUUGAUGAUGAUGACAGUGACGAUGAUGGUGGUGGUGAUGGUGAUGAAGAUGGUGAUGAUGUUGAUGAAGAUGGCAAUGACGAUGGCGGUGGUAGAGAUGACACUGUUAUUACCAGCAGAAUAAGCCAUAUGACUUUGCAACAAGAACACCAGACACACCUGGCCACAAAUCUAUAUACGGGGCCGGCCCUGUGGCGUAGCUGGUAAAGCCGUCACCUGCAGUGCUGGCAUCCCACAUGGGCACCGGUUCCAGUCCCAGAUGCUCCACUUCCGAUCCAGCUCUCUGCU